rnacentral:lncRNA from 1 species
CCAGGCAGUCGGAAUGAAAGAUGUACAAGCAUGCACAUCAGACUUGGGGAAGAUGAACUUAAUAGAUCAAGAAAAGAUGACCACUGCAGCUGCAUUUCUAUUUUGGAAUCACACUCUCCGUGACCUGUGUGAGUCACAGCUACCAGAAAACAAAGACAGCAAAAAAGAUGGGAAAUGUAAAGUCAUAAGAUCAAUAGGUUGACUGUGACAACUAUAUUUACUUACAGAGAGAACAGGAAAUGAGAAUGGGUGAUAUGGGUCCCCAUGAAGCAAUAAACAUAGGAGGACCUCACUCUGUUGUGCAUGCUGGAGUACAGUGGUGCAAUCUCUGCUCCCUGAAACCUCGACUUCCAGGGCUCAAGAGAUCCUUCCAUCUUACCAAGUAGCUGGGAAUACAGGCACGCGCCA